rnacentral:rRNA from 1 species
GAUGAACGCUGGCGGCGUGCCUAAUACAUGCGAGUCGAGCGAACAGACGAGGAGCUUGCUCCUCUGACGUUAGCGGCGGACGGGUGAGUAACACGUGGAUAACCUACCUAUAAGACUGGGAUAACUUCGGGAAACCGGAGCUAAUACCGGAUAAUAUAUUGAACCGCAUGGUUCAAUAGUGAAAGACGGUUUUGCUGUCACUUAUAGAUGGAUCCGCGCCGCAUUAGCUAGUUGGUAAGGUAACGGCUUACCAAGGCAACGAUGCGUAGCCGACCUGAGAGGGUGAUCGGCCACACUGGAACUGAGACACGGUCCAGACUCCUACGGGAGGCAGCAGUAGGGAAUCUUCCGCAAUGGGCGAAAGCCUGACGGAGCAACGCCGCGUGAGUGAUGAAGGUCUUCGGAUCGUAAAACUCUGUUAUUAGGGAAGAACAAAUGUGUAAAUAACUAUGCACGUCUUGACGGUACCUAAUCAGAAAGCCACGGCUAACUACGUG